rnacentral:lncRNA from 1 species
UGUUGGUGGGGGGCUUGGUAUCUUCCCUACCUUGGUAUCUUCCCUACCUUCGAAUUUCAAGUCUCUGCUAGGCUAGGGGCUUUCUCUCCCUCUGAAACCUAUGAUUAUCUUCAGUUGACUUGUAAAUUUCUGCUAGGAUAUUUUUUUUGGCAAAAGAAAAAAAUCGUUUUUCCAACAUUUCCAUUAUUUAAAAUUUUAGUAUUUAAUAGGAUUGUUCUUAAUUCCUAAUGGCUUCCUCUAUUUAUUUCAGUUAGCAUUUUAAUUAAUAAAAACAACGAUGUAAGUUACUGGGCCUACAAUUCUGUUAUCAGUAAGUUCAGAGUUGAGGUUCUGCAUAUUUUAGUUUUGAUGCUGACGCACUCAGUUCUGGAGCUGUAUUCAUCAUCAGUAAACAGUGUGUGCCAGGAAACUACUGGGGAAACUUCUGCGAAGGGAUCUAAAUGACUUACUAGGAGAAGUCACUUCUCCACUUUCUCACUUCUUUACAUGUCCUGUGUUUGCAGCAUGACUCUUUUUUAAUAUGGUGUCACCCACUAGACUCAGUGUAGUGAGGAUAUUCUUGCUUCUGUCAAAAACUCCCUGACCAAGGCCACUUAUAAAAGAAAGUGUUUAAUCGAGUUUACGGUUAUAGAAGAAAGCACAGAAUACGCUUCACCUUUCCAAAAGGUGGCUCUGCCCAAGCCUGACAAAUACAGAAGAGGAGGCUCGCAGCCAACCAUUGGACGGUUCUGAUUUUUUAAAUACAUGUUCAUGGACAAAUACUCUCAUAUAAAUACCCCCUCCCUACUCCAUCCCCACAGAUACUCAUGUACAUUCACUAUACACAUUGAAAGAAUGAAUAAAUAAACUCUCUUCCUGC